GCAGCCCAGUGGUCAGAAGGGAGGUGAGAGGGAUGGACAGCCCCACCAGAACCACCAGGAGAAGGGCAGUUCCUCAAAGGAAGGAAAACUGGGCGGAUAAAAGCAACAGAUGUCCAGUCUUGCUAUUUUCUGAAUGCUUAGCUAGACAACAAGACGAAAGCCAGCAAAAUGGGUGGAUCUGGCCCCUGGUCCACUUAACUGCUGCCUUGGAUGUAAACACACGGUGGAAGAAUGUUCACGAAAAUCUUAACAGGCAUGGUCUCUGUGCCGUGGGAUUUAAGACAUUCAGUGAGAUAGAUGUGAUCAUCCCCAUUUUAUAAUGAGGAGCUGAGGCCCGGAGGGUAAGGUGUCCUGUCCAAGGUUCCAUGGUCUAUGAGUGAUAGCAACGUGAGACCUGAGAGUCUAGGUCACAAAGCCGGCCACGUCCGUCUUCCCCCGUCACUGCGUCUCCUGAGGGUGGAGCGAGGUCCAGAGGGCCCUGGAGAGCCCGUCGGACGGCAGACAAUCCACAGACGAUUCUAUGCACGUGAUGAGUUCUGCGAACAGGUGUGAACAGGGACAGAAAGGAAGCAGCCUUGGCGGGAAAUUCCUCUUGUACCGGACGCCACAGAAGGGCAUUCACAUCCCUUGUCUCAAGGGCGGCUCACCACACCCCUGCCAGGUGGCUGUUGUGAUCCCGUUUCAGUGACGAGUGAGGCUGAGCCUCAGAGAGUUUCCAUGAUACCCCCAGGUCACACAGCCAGACGGCGGGGAGCUGGCAGCCAGCUCCAGCUCUGACGUGCACUUUAGAAAGGUCGCUCUCACUGUCAUGUGAAAGAAGGACUUGGUAAGACAGAGAAAAGCAGAGAGACUCAAAUGAUCUUCACAAGGGGGCCAAGAGCAUUCAGUGGGGGAAAGGGCUGUCUUUUCAAUGAGUGGUGCUGGGAAAACCGGAUCUCCACAUGUGAAAGAAGGAAGUUAGUCCCUACCUCACGCCGUACACGAAACUUCACUCAAAAUGGAUCAGGGACCUAAGUGUAAGGCCUAAAACAGUAAAACUCUUAGAAGAAAACACAGGACCAAAGAUUCAUGAUGCUGGAUUUGGUGAUGAUUCCUUGCAUAAGACUCCAAAGGGACAGGUAACAAAAGGAAAAAUAGACAAAUUGGACUUCAUGAAAAUUUAAAAAUUUUGUGCAUUAAAAAUUACUGUCAACAGAGUAAAAAGGUAACUCCCAGAAUGGGAGAAAAUAUUUACAAAUCAUAUAUCUGAUAAGGAAUUAAUAUCCAGAACAUACAGAGAAGUAAAACUCAACAACAACAAAAAACCCAAAUCAAAAAUGGGCAAAUGACUUGAAUUGACAUUUUUCUAAAGAAGACAUACAAAUGGCCGAUAAGCACAUGAGAGAUGAUCAACACCACUGAUCAUGAGGGAGAUGCAAAUCAAAACCGCAGUGAGUACCACCUCACACCCAUCAGGAUGGCUGUUAUAUUAAAAAGCAAACAAAUGGAAAAUAAGAAGUGUUGGUGAGGAUGUGGACAGACUGGAACCCUCGUGCACCUUUGGUGGGAAUGGAAAAAGGUGCAGCUGCUGUGGAAAACCGUGUGGUGGUUCCUCAAAAAGUUAAAAAUAGAGUUACUAUAUGACCCAGAAAUUCCACCUCUGGGUAUACACCCAGAAGAACGGAAAACAGUCUCGAACAGAUAUUUGCACACCCAUGCGCACAGCAGCAUUAUUCACAACAGCCAAAAUGCGGAAGUAACCCAAGUGCCCGUCAACAGAUGAGCGGAUAAACAAAAUGGGGCACAUCCAUACCAUGGAAUAUUAUUCGGCCCUAAAAAGGAGGGGAAUUCUGACACGUGCCACAACACAGAUGAGCCCUGAGGACAUUAGGCUGAGUGAAGUAAGCCACAAAAGGACAAAUAGCGUAUGAUUCUCUUCAUAUGAGGUCCCUACAGUAGUCAGACUCAUAGAGACAGAAAGUAGGAGGGUGGUUGCCAGGGCCUGGUGGAGGGGGAUGCGGAGUGACCGUUUAAGGGGCACAGUUUCAGUUUUACACGAUGAAAAGAGCUGUGGGGGGAGGUGCUGGUUGUACAACAUGAUGACUGUGCUUAAUACCACGGAACUAUGCACUUAAAAAUGGUCAAGGCAGUAAAUUUGAUGUUCUCUGUACACACAACAUAGUGUACACAUAGAGACACAACAGAGUGUGAUGGAUUCACGGAUCUGGAGCCCCACAGCAGGAUGCAGAAACGUAGCUGGGCGUCAUCGACAUGCAGGUGACCACAAGGGCACGAUCUGCACGAGCUUGCUCAUGGAGGCUUUGAGGAGAGAAGAGGACUGAGGUCAGAUCCCUCUAGAGCUCAGCGGUAUGGGGUCCAAGCUGGAGGAAGGGCCCGGAGAUGAGGAUGAGGUCAGGGAGGUGGAGGGAUGGGAGGAGAGUGUCAGGGAAGGCGAGGGAGGGGUCAGGAGGCACCUGGUCCCCCUCGUUCAGAGAGUCUUUGCUCCCUCCUGGGCCCAGCACCCCUCCACUUUCAGUCCGUGUGAUUUGUGGGGCUGACCCACCCCCAGCUCCAGGAAGCGGGGAGAGAAGGCCUGGCCUGGGUCCAGCUAAUAAUAUUCCAUCUCCUGGCUCUGGCAAUUGGCUCAAGAGUGGGCCUGUGACCAACGUAGGGCCUGGAGAUUCAAUCAUGGGACUUCUGCUGCAACAACUAGGAAGACGAAACUUUCAGGCUUGAGUUCUAGCUGUGAGGAUAAUGCCGGUCUGGAGCUGCCAGUGCCACAUACAGAGCCUGAGCAUUAAGCCAAAGCAGAGGAAAGUGAGUGGGGAGAUGGAGAGCAAGAGGGAUCCAGUCUGGGUGAUAGCAUAUGAGCUUCUGGAUCCAUCAAUGCCUGAAGCCUGCACAACUGGGUCACCCGAGCCAACCAGUUCCCUUUAUGGCUGUGGCAAAUACUGAAAGCAGGCUCCCUCCAUACUCAUUCCCAAUCUGUCUCCCGCCUGCCUUCCUCUACCACAGAGUCUGAAAAGCUGAGUCAUUAUUUCCCAGCCUCCUUUUCAGCCAAGGGUGACCAUGAGACACUUUCUGGCCAAUGAGGAAGCCCCUGGGGAGGGUGCCCCUUCCCGAAUAAAGGGAAGUUCUCAUUAGCAGAACGCCAUUUUUGUCCACUUUCUCGCUGCUUGGAAUGUGGGUGUGAGGCAAGGAGGCGCAGCCGCCAUCUUGCAGCUACAAGGCAACAAGCACGAGAUGCAGGACAAGCACUAAGGAGGAUGGGACCAAAACACAGGCUGAGCCCAGGUUCCUGACGGCACUGUGGGGCUGCGGCUCCAGGCCUGGGCUGCCCCGUCCUGACGUCUUGCAGAGCGAGGCAAU
rnacentral:lncRNA from 1 species